rnacentral:rRNA from 1 species
AACGAACGCUGGCGGCAUGCCUAACACAUGCAAGUCGAACGAGACCUUCGGGUCUAGUGGCGCACGGGUGCGUAACGCGUGGGAAUCUGACCUUCGGUUGGGCAUAACUGAGAGAAAUUUAAGAUAAUACCUUAUAAUGUCUUCGAACCAAAGAUUUAUCGACGAGGGAUGAGCGCGAGUAGGAUAAGGUAGUUGGUGGGGUAAUGGGCUACCAAGCCGACGAACCUUAGCUGGUCUGAGAGGAUGGUCCGCCACUCUGGGACUGAGAAGCGGCCCAGACUCCUACGGGAUGCAGCAGUGUGGAAUAUUGGACAAUCGGCGAAGGGCUGAUCCAGCUAGGCCGCGUGAGUGAUGUAGGUCUUAGAGUUGUAAAGUUCUUGUACCCGCGAUGAUAAUGACAGUACCGGGAGAAUAAGCUCCGGCUAACUCCGUG